GUGCCCACUUCAGCAGCACAUACACUAAAAUUGGAACGAUUUAGAGAUUAGCAUGGCCCCUGUGCAAGGAUAACAUGCAAAUUUGUGAAGCAUUUCAUGUUUUG
ensembl:snRNA U6 U6 spliceosomal RNA